AUUGAACGCUGGCGGCAUGCCUUACACAUGCAAGUCGAACGGCAGCACGGGAGCAAUCCUGGCGGCGAGUGGCGAACGGGUGAGUAAUAUAUCGGAACGUGCCCAGUAGUGGGGGAUAACUGCUCGAAAGAGCAGCUAAUACCGCAUACGACCCGAGGGUGAAAGGGGGGGAUCGCAAGACCUCUCGCUAUUGGAGCGGCCGAGAUCAGAUUAGCUAGUUGGUGGGGUAAAGGCCUACCAAGGCAACGAUCUGUAGUUGGUCUGAGAGGACGACCAGCCACACUGGGACUGAGACACGGCCCAGACUCCUACGGGAGGCAGCAGUGGGGAAUUUUGGACAAUGGGCGCAAGCCUGAUCCGGCAAUGCCGCGUGCAGGAAGAAGGCCUUCGGGUUGUAAACUGCUUUUGUCAGGGAAGAAAUCCUCUAGGUUAAUACCCUUGGGGGGAUGACGGUACCUGAAGAAUAAGCACCGGCUAACUACGUGCCAGCCGCCGCCGUAACAC
rnacentral:rRNA from 1 species